rnacentral:rRNA from 1 species
AAUGAACGCUGGCGGCAGGCCUGACACAUACAAGUCGAACGGAUCCUUCGGGAUUAGUGGCGGACGGGUGAGUAACGCGUGGGAACGUGCCCUUUGGUUCGGAAUAGCCUCGGGAAACUGGGAGUAAUACCGGAUAAGCCCUUCGGGGGAAAGAUUUAUCGCCAAAGGAUCGGCCCGCGUUGGAUUAGGUAGUUGGUGGGGUAAUGGCCUACCAAGCCGACGAUCCAUAGCUGGUUUGAGAGGAUGAUCAGCCACACUGGGACUGAGACACGGCCCAGACUCCUACGGGAGUCAGCAGUGGGGAAUCUUAGACAAUGGGGGAAACCCUGAUCUAGCCAUGCCGCGUGAUCGAUGAAGGCCUUAGGGUUGUAACGAUCUUUCAGUUGGGAAGAUAAUGACGGUACCAACAGAAGAAGCCCCGGCUAACUCCGUGCCAGCCGCCGCCGCGG